UACGUAGGGUGCAAGCGUUGUCCGGAAUUAUUGGGCGUAAAGAGCUCGUAGGCGGCUUGUCGCGUCGACUGUGAAAACCCGGGGCUCAACUCCGGGCCUGCAGUCGAUACGGGCUGGCUUGAGUGCGGUAGGGGAGACUGGAAUUCCUGGUGUAGCGGUGAAAUGCGCAGAUAUCAGGAGGAACACCGGUGGCGAAGGCGGGUCUCUGGGCCGUAACUGACGCUGAGGAGCGAAAGCGUGGGGAGCGAACAGG
rnacentral:rRNA from 1 species